rnacentral:rRNA from 1 species
AUUGAACGUUGGCGGCAGGCCUAACACAUGCAAGUCGAGCGGAUGAUGGGAGCUUGCUCCUGGAUUCAGCGGCGGACGGGUGAGUAAUGCCUAGGAAUCUGCCUGGUAGUGGGGGACAACGUUUCGAAAGGAACGCUAAUACCGCAUACGUCCUACGGGAGAAGGCAGGGGACCUUCGGGCCUUGCGCUAUCAGAUGAGCCUAGGUCGGAUUAGCUUGUUGGUGAGGUAAUGGCUCACCAAGGCGACGAUCCGUAACUGGUCUGAGAGGAUGAUCAGUCACACUGGAACUGAGACACGGUCCAGACUCCUACGGGAGGCAGCAGUGGGGAAUAUUGGACAAUGGGCGAAAGCCUGAUCCAGCCAUGCCGCGUGUGUGAAGAAGGUCUUCGGAUUGUAAAGCACUUUAAGUUGGGAGGAAGGGUUGUAGAUUAAUACUCUGCAAUUUUGACGUUACCGACAGAAUAAGCACCGGCUAACUCUGUGCCAGCCGCCGCCGUAACAC